rnacentral:rRNA from 1 species
UGGGGAAUCUUCCGCAAUGGACGAAAGUCUGACGGAGCAACGCCGCGUGUAUGAUGAAGGUCUUCGGAUUGUAAAGUACUGUCAUUGGGGAAGAACGGUUUUCUUGAAAAGAUUGAGAAGACAUGACGGUACCCAAGGAGGAAGCCCCGGCUAACUACGUGCCAGCAGCCGCGGUAAUACGUAGGGGGCAAGCGUUGUCCGGAAUUAUUGGGCGUAAAGGGCGCGUAGGCGGGCUUUUAAGUCCGGUGUGAAAGAUCAGGGCUCAACCCUGAGAGUGCAUCGGAAACUGGAGGCCUUGAGGACAGGAGAGGAAAGUGGAAUUCCACGUGUAGCGGUGAAAUGCGUAGAUAUGUGGAGGAACACCAGUGGCGAAGGCGACUUUCUGGACUGUAACUGACGCUGAGGCGCGAAAGCGUGGGGAGCAAACAGGAUUAGAUACCCUGGUAGUCCACGCCCGUAAACGAUGAGUGCUAGGUGUAGAGGGUAUCGACCCCUUCUGUGCCGCAGUUAACACAAUAAGCACU